UGGGAUAUAGCUCAGUGGUAGAGCAUUUGCCUACCACAUGAUACUGGGUUUGAUUCCCAGUAUCACAA
rnacentral:tRNA from 1 species